AAAUAAAAUGUAUUUAAUUUUUUGUCGCUCAACAUAUACGUCACAACUGCCGACGUGCGACACCCCCCCGGCAGGUCCAGUCCGCUAUUUAUCGGACUUUUCGACCCCAGGCAGAAAAGUUCAUGUGAUUUCAUCAAACUCAAUCAUGUGUGGCUGUAUGGAAGAGUGCCGAGUCUUCAGACAUCCAAGAAAUGCUGAACAGGCAUAAUGAAACAACUACACCGCGAGCUACUUUCAAACUACUGAGACCGGACCGUCUGGACGUCUCCAUUUUACGUACAAUUCUCUCUGUGUAUGAAAAAUGCAAGAAGAAUAUAUGUGGAGCUGAAGACAGACAACAGGGUAGAGUGAAGCACACUGAGAGAUGAAAUCAUCCAUUCGGAAAGACAACACGAGUGCGGCCUGAUUAAACAACCAAGCACAGUCCAACUAAAAUCUACUACACCUCGAUGGCUUCAGUGGAGUGCUCUGCUUCGAGAGUGGUGCACAGCAGCCUGAUAUGGACUUGUGAUGAUAAAGGACUCAUUGCUGUCUGUGAGUAGCGUCACCCAACUCUCACCCAAAACUGUGCCGCAGGCUAGUCACGCCAAAAACCUUGAGUAGAUGGGGAAUGCGGCAGUUCCUCAAAUGGCCACUUGAGGCUGUCUCCAAACUGGAGUCGAUCUCCACAGACCUCCGUAUUAAAAGUUGACAUCAGAAAUAAACAUGUUAUCAGCUUUGAACAAAAUACGGAUUUGGCCUCUGUGUUUCAUUUCUGAAACAGUGUGUAAUUUUGUGUAAUUGUGGGUGUGGUCAGUUUGAGUGACAGGCAGGCGACCUCACAGGUUGCUAGCUGUCCACCUAGCUUUCACUAACACACUUAGGCUACACUCA